GAUCUCUGCCUCUAUUCAUGGGCCGACAGGACUUUGUUUAUCCUGUUUCGCGUUGGCAUGAUCCAGCACAAGGAUACUGUAAGUUUAAAGCAAAAUAAGCAAUCUUUGUAUGACAACGGGCAAAAAAUAGUUGCAAAAGUUACAAUCAAAGAUACGAUUUUAUGUUGACUUGGUUGAGGGAUAUCUAAGAAGCCCAUUCGCAUCAGAAACUGAUCUUCUUUCAUUACAACCAAAAGGUAUCAACGAGUGAAAGCCUUGUGUACAAAGUCUACUGAUGCCAUAAGCAAACAAAAGGCCUUGUGUCUGGAUAUUGGAUGGUAAUCAAAAACGAGAUAAUUUCUACAAAAACGUUUUCAGUCCACCGGCCGCUAGAUGGCGCCAUAGUUCCAUUUACACCAUUUAUUUCCAGCCUGCAAACUUUUUCUCAAGUUCCACUAUUAAUUUGCCGCUUGUCCUUCAGUGCUGUGGCAGAUAUUAUUGUUUUAAAAUGGAAAAAAAUAAAUGCAGUAAUAGAGGAGACAACAAAAAUAUUCUGUUCAAAAGUAGGCUACAUUUACUCUAAUGACAUUUUACUCAAGAAUGAGGAAAACCACCUUGUCAAAAUUCUCAAGUUAAAGUUUGAAGUGCUUACGUGAAAUGUACUUAAGUACUCCACUGAGUUCUGGCAUUAGGUGUGAGGAAGAAAUGCAUGCCCCCUAGUUAAAUAAAAGCAGGUUUGCCUAAUGAUUUGUUGUAAUACAGCAAUGCUCAUAAAAGGAAAUACAAAUGCAUGUUAGUAAAAAAGCAUGACGGAGGCUUUUAUCCUCAUCUAUUUGAGGAAAACCAUCUCUACAACAAAGGUGAAGGUUUCAUUGACACUAACACCCAAUAGGAAAUCAAUUGUGACAAGUGCACGGUCUGGAGAAAUAAAUGGAUGAGUAUCUAAGUGAAAGCCAAAGUGAGAAGAUAUGAUAUCCUGAGAAGAGGAUGGACAAAAAUUUGACCUGCAACUAUUUAAUUUCCUCCAAACUUUUUACGUUGUCAGGUUUGAAGAGGUAUGCCCAAUAAAGUCUGAUCUGACUCCAGUGUGGCGAUAAUAACGAGAAGCUGAAAUUGGUGUGAAAUGGUCUCAAACUCUGGUUUACUUCAGUAAAAUCAUUCUCUGCUGUUUCAAUUUUUCUCUGUAGCUCAGUUUACCCUUCAUUUCAACUCAGCUCUCAGUUUUGUUAGGGGGCUUGUAACCAACAGGUUGGACCAGUUUCUCUCAAUCAUGACCUCUGUCACACUUCACUCCCCUCCCUCAUCUAGGGAAAAACCUGCUCUUUAACCACUUCCUGGCAGCGCUCUUUAGCGAUUUCAAAUGUUCACCUGCAUCACAACACACUGGAUGGGAUUUCAAUGUAGUAAGAGGUUCAUGGUUUGUUUUGUCCUCUGUGCUCCCAAUGCUUGCGCUUCUUAUCUCCACUGGUUUCUUGUGUUCGUUUUUUAAUCUUGUUUGGUUAUGGCUGCAUGCUCUCUUCGCAGUUGUGUAGUCAGCAAGGAAAAUGCAUGCUUAAGCACUGUGUGAGGUUGCAAGACAGUGAGAGUGCUGCAGGCCUGCCUGCACUUUCACCACUGAGAAGCUGAAGGACAAUAUAUCAGGUAUAAAAAAGUUAAAACCACUCUCCUCCCCAUUAUGAAAUGAUAGUUAUCUAUAUCUAAUUCAUUUAGUAGAUGUGAGUGCAGGCUUCCACUGACUCAACAAUGUUGUCUCUGGUUCAAAGAAAAAAUGUCUCUAAGAACGAUGAAGAGGGGAGCUCCUGCAGGAUUUCCUCAGCAGCAGACUGCAUGAGUGACAUACUCCUUACACACCCAAACACUACAUCACCCUUGGGAGCUCAGUGGCAGCGCUGCAGCCUCCAGCUCUGCUCUGUGUUCUGUUUGGGGCUGUACAGCUGGAGUCAGGUUGGAGAGGGAUGGUUUGUCAGGUGAGCGCCACACUGGGCCAAGCCUUGCUCUCGCAGCAUGCCGCUGUUUGCUGCAGCUGGCCAAAAAAGACAGACUGUGAGCCCUGGCUGUCAACAUCUGCUCCAGAGACUCAACCAUCUGCCCAGGGGCCCCGAGGGGGAGCAGCUCUCCUGUCUCAGACCAGCUGCAGAGCCCCAGACCUGGACCUGAGCAGUCCUGGAGAGGCGGAGAACACGGCCAAGACACAGUCAGGGCUGCUGUGCACCGGGAUGUUUGUCUCAAACACUUAAAUGAGUUUAAUCUGCAUGGCGUGAUGAUAGCGAGGUCUGUUUACACAAAUUUUUCAGAUAGCUGCAUCAGAUCCUGUGACACAGUAUCAAGGAAUGUGUAACCAUGCAAAGAAAAUCUCUUUAAAUUCAACAAUUUACUGUAUUUGGCCGAAGUAUUAAAGUCUUGUAAGAUUUGAAAGCAAAAUGCAAAUCCAA
rnacentral:lncRNA from 1 species